UACGGAGGGUGCAAGCGUUAUCCGGAUUUACUGGGUUUAAAGGGUGUGUAGGCGGACUUUUAAGUCAGGGGUGAAAUCCCGAGGCUCAACCUCGGAACUGCCUUUGAUACUAUUGGUCUUGAAUCUUGUUGAGGUGGGCGGAACGGGUCAUGUAGCGGUGAAAUGCAUAGAUAUGACCCGGAACACCGAUUGCGAAGGCAGCCCGCUAAGCAAGCAUUGACGC
rnacentral:rRNA from 1 species